rnacentral:rRNA from 1 species
ACAUACAGGUCGCGGUUUCCAGAGAUGGAUUCCUUCAGUUCGGCUGGACCGGUGACAGGUGCUGCAUGGCUGUCGUCAGGUCGUGUCGUGAGAUGUUGGGUUAAGUCCCGCAACGAGCGCAACCCUCGCCCUUAGUUGCCAGCAUUAAGUUGGGCACUCUAAGGGGACUGCCGGUGAUAAGCCGAGAGGAAGGUGGGGAUGACGUCAAGUCCUCAUGGCCCUUACGGGCUGGGCUACUCACGUGCUACAUUGGUGCUGACAGUGGUCAGCGAGACCGCGAGGUCGAGCUAAUCUCCAAAAGCCAUCUCAGUUCGGAUUGCACUCUGCAACUCGAGUGCAUGAAGUUGGAAGCGCUAGUAAUCGCGGAUCAGCAUGCCGCGGUGAAUACGUUCCCGGGCCUUGUACACACCGCCCGUCACACCAUGGGAGUUUGU